rnacentral:rRNA from 1 species
AAGAGAGAGACAUGCGCGCAUAUCAAUAAGCGGAGGAAAAGAAACUAACAAGGAUUCCCCUAGUAACGGCGAGUGAAGCGGGAAGAGCUCAAAUUUGAAAUCUUAAAGGGUUUCCCUUUACGAAUUGUAGUUUAAAGAAGUGUUUUCUGUUGAGGUUUUGGUAAAAGUUCUUUGGAAUAGGACAUCAUAGAGGGUGAGAAUCCCGUAUUUGACCUUUACUUUCAACUUUGUGAUACACUUUCAAAGAGUCGGAUUGUUUGGGAAUGCAGUCCAAAAUGGGUGGUAAAUUUCAUCUAAAGCUAAAUAUUGGCGAGAGACCGAUAGCGAACAAGUACCGUGAGGGAAAGAUGAAAAGAACUUUGAAAAGAGAGUUAAACAGUACGUGAAAUUGUCAAAAGGGAAGCGUUUGACACCAGUGUUGUUUUUCUGAAAAUCAAUUAAAGAACUGUUUAUGCUAAGCUGUUUAGACUUUAUCAGCUAAUCUGUUUAGUUUUGAGCUUUUCUUUAAUGCACUUUUCAGUUAACAAGUCAACAUCAAUUUCUUUUGCUGUAAAAAAGCUUGAGGAAGGUGGCUUGAGAUUCGUCUUAAGUGUUUAUAGCCUCUUGCCUAUGCAGUCAGAGAGAUUGAGGUCUGCAGCGUAGAUCCUUCGGGGCUAAAUGCAUUUGUGCUAAGUUAUAGCAUUUUAUAGACAACUUGUUGACUAUGAUUUGUCUUGUAGCUUACUCGCUUAUGUUAUUUUACCUACGCUUAGGAUGUUGACGCAUGAGAUAUACGC